UACCAGCUUCAACCGGCCUGAACUAGAUGAGCCCCACUGCAAGGGCAGUGCCUGCACAGAUGACCUAGAGAUGACCAGAAAACACCCGUUUCCUCAUCUUGACACUAAAAUCUCCACCGUAGGAGGAGCUGGGCCAUAUUAGCAUAAGAUGUGAGAAGUACAGCUGUUGAAAAUGCAACUGUUGAAAAACCAUUGGAACCCUGUACCACUACAUUAUAUAUUCCAAGGUUGUUUGUGGUGUUACCAUGAGAAAAGUGCUUUCACUGAGUAGGUGUCCAGAUUGAACACUACUGCUGACAGGAGAGACUUUGAGCAGACUCCCAAAGUCCCACAGUUUACUUCCUGGGAAAAUACAUCCAAUUCGGCUCUACAAAAGAUAC